rnacentral:rRNA from 1 species
UACGUAGGUGGCAAGCGUUGUCCGGAUUUAUUGGGUUUAAAGGGUGCGUAGGCGGCUUAUUAAGUCAGUGGUGAAAUACUCUAGCUCAACUAGAGGGGUGCCAUUGAUACUGAUGAGCUUGAGUACAGAUGAGGUAGGCGGAAUUGACGGUGUAGCGGUGAAAUGCCUAGAUAUCGUCAAGAACACCUAUAGCGAAGGCAGCUUACUAGGCUGUAACUGACGCUGAGGCACGAAAGCGUGGGUAGCAAACAGG